rnacentral:rRNA from 1 species
AGAGUUUGAUCCUGGCUCAGGACGAACGCUGGCGGCGUGCCUAACACAUGCAAGUCGAGCGGAGACAAUGGAGAGCUUGCUCAAAGGUUGUUUUAGCGGCGGACGGGUGAGUAACGCGUGAGCAAUCUGUCCUGUACAGGGGGAUAACAACUGGAAACAGUUGCUAAUACCGCAUGAGACCACAAUGUCGCAUGGCGAAGGGGUCAAAGGAGAAAUCCGGUACAGGGUGAGCUCGCGUCUGAUUAGCUGGUUGGUGAGGUAACGGCCCACCAAGGCGACGAUCAGUAGCCGACCUGAGAGGGUGGUCGGCCACAUUGGAACUGAGACACGGUCCAAACUCCUACGGGAGGCAGCAGUGGGGAAUAUUGGGCAAUGGGCGAAAGCCUGACCCAGCAACGCCGCGUGAAGGAAGAAGGUUUUCGGAUUGUAAACUUCUGUCCUUGGUGACGAAGGAAGUGACGGUAGCCAAGGAGGAAGCCCCCCGGCUAACUACGUGCCAGCAGCCGCGGU